UUGUGGGAUUCUGUGAUUCCCAAAGUGCCUGCACCCUUUGGGAAUGGAUUCCCUGAUUAUUUCCAUGCAGUGGGGGAAGAUCUGCAGCUGGAGGCCCUGCCAUGGCAAGAAGCCUCUUUCUGCUGAGAUAAGCAGCCAGCUUUGAUCCAGGCCAGUUCAGCAAUUCCCUCUGAUCCUGGCCAGUUCAGCAAUUCCCUUGGGAUCCCUUGUCCCUGAUUUGGUGCCACAGAGGAGAGCCCUGCCCUGAGUACCCACAGCCAGGGCCAACUUGGGACACCCAUCUAGGAAUGUCUGCUUGCAUUUCCUGGGCCAGGAAUGUCUGCUUGCAUUUCCUGGGAACAGCUGCCCUGCUCCAGGGGCGGCUGCAGGGCCACGGGGCUGCUCUGGCCCAGGAGAAACCCCUGAGCAGCCACAGAGGGCCCAUCUCAGGUGGCAUCAGAGCCAGGAGCUGGGGACACUCUCAGGUGUCACCUGCAGGUACUUUGGGCUCUGACAGCCCUUGAUGGUCCUGCCCAGCCCCACCUGGCCCCUGGGCAGGCUCUAUUUAAACCCAGCCCUGGCCCUCAGCCUGGGCUGGUGCUGGGCUGGUGCUGGGCUGGUUCUGGCACUCAGACCCUGCUCUGGUGUCACAGCUUGGCCUCACCCUCCUGCCCAGCUCUGAGGGCACCCAAAGCCACCCCCAGUGCUGCAAAUGAGGUUUUCCUUCCCCAAACCCUCCCCAACACUGACCCAGCUGCAGAUGUCCCUCCCAGGGCUCUGUGCCUCCCACUCCAGCUAGGAAGGGCAGGCUGGCUCUGCCCAGCUGCUCCCUGGAAAAGCUCUUUGCUGUGUUUUGGUUUAUCUGCAACAUCUUAUUGUGAGUUCUGCAGGUACAACCUCGCUUUUCUGCACUGGAAAGGGACAAUGAUCCCACAGGUGCCUCUGCUGAUGGGAAAUGAGGUUCUGGGCUGUUCUGGCUCUGUGCAGGGAGCAAAGACCUGCUGGAGCUUUACAGUCUGAUUUGGAUUUCUGCGGUCCUGAGGAGCAGUGCCCAGCAGCAGGGGGUUCCUGGCUGUCCUACCUGGGAUGUAGGUGUGAGUUUGGUGUUUUGGGAUUCUCUCCCAGCUGUGCUGCUCCUGCAGGCCGUGCUGGGGGCCCGACAGCCACUCCAGGAUGAACCAGAGCAGGGGGCUCUGGCUGGGCUGGGGGCGCUGCCACCGCACCAGGACCCUGCUCUGCUGCUCCUGCUGCACCUCCAGCGCCUCCGGGGCCGGGAACUCUGGGGGGAAACGGGGCAGGGGCAGCUCAAACAGCCCAAACCCAUCCUUGGGGACUGGGGAGGGUCAGCCCAGCCCAGGGGAAAUGUGGCUUUCCUGGAGGGGUUUGAAAGCUGAAGGGUGAGCAGGAAAUUCCAGAAUGUGGAGGGUUUGUAUAUAAAUACAAUAUAUGAUAUAUAUUUUUAUAUAUUUAUAUCAACACAUAUACUAUAUAUAUGUAUUGAUCUGUAUUUCAUAAAUUGUUCAGGUUGGAAAAGACCUUAAAGAUCAAGGCCACCACUGUCCCAUGUCCCCAAGUGCCACAUCCAUGUGGCUUUUGAAUCCCUGCAGGGAUGGGGACUCAACCCUGCCCUGGGCAGCUGUGCCAGGGCUGAGGAACCUUUCCAGGAGGAAUUUUCCCAAAUAUCCACCCUGGGGCCAUUCCCUCUGCUCCUGUCCCUGUUCCCUGACUUCCCCCCGGCUGUGCCCCCCUGGCAGGAGCUGUGCAGAGCCACAGGGCCCCUGA
ensembl:lncRNA